GAAAUGCGAUAAGUAAUGUGAAUUGCAGAAUUCCGUGAAUCAUCGAAUCUUUGAACGCACAUUGCGCCCUCUGGUAUUCCGGGGGGCAUGCCUGUCCGAGCGUCAUUGCGAACCCCUCAAGCACGGCUUGUGUGAUGGGCCCUCCCGCGUCUUGGUCGUCAAGACGGGCCCGAAAUGCAGUUGCGGCUUCGCGGUUAUCCGAUCAGCCAGAGCGUAUGGGGACUUUCUCUCUGUCACACGCCCGCGGCGCGGACCGACGCCUGUCGACCUUCAUUCAUCGUUUUCUCGGUUGACCUCGGAUCAGGUAGGGAUACCCGCUGAACUUAAGC
rnacentral:misc_RNA from 1 species